UGGGGAAUUUUGGACAAUGGGCGCAAGCCUGAUCCAGCAAUGCCGCGUGCAGGAUGAAGGCCUUCGGGUUGUAAACUGCUUUUGUACGGAACGAAAAGCCUCUCUCUAAUACAGGGGGGUGAUGACGGUACCGUAAGAAUAAGCACCGGCUAACUACGUGCCAGCAGCCGCGGUAAUACGUAGGGUGCAAGCGUUAAUCGGAAUUACUGGGCGUAAAGCGUGCGCAGGCGGUUUUGUAAGACAGUGGUGAAAUCCCCGGGCUCAACCUGGGAACUCCAUUGUGACCGCAAGGCUGGAGUGCGGCAGAGGGGGAUGGAAUUCCGCGUGUAGCAGUGAAAUGCGUAGAUAUGCGGAGGAACACCGAUGGCGAAGGCAAUCCCCUGGGCCUGCACUGACGCUCAUGCACGAAAGCGUGGGGAGCAAAACAGGAUUAGAUACCCCUGGUAGUCCACGCCCUAAAACGAUGUCAACUGGUUGUUGGGGAUUUAUUUCUUCAGUAACGAAGCUAA
rnacentral:rRNA from 1 species